AACACACAUGCAGGCUUAGCUCAGGCCAGACCCUCACUGCUAAGGAGUUGCGAUUAUCAUCCCUGAUAUAGAGGCGGGGAACCCAAAACACCAAGAGCAGUGGGUGCUUAGGAAGCCACAGAGCUGGGAGUAGAGCCCCAGCAGCCUGAUCCAGAGCCCCUGUUCUUCACCACCACCCUGCCCUCCUCCAGGGAGCACAGUGGGGGUCCUGGAGCCUCUUUCCAUCUGUUGGAUCUCGGUGAGAGGUUUAUAGAAGAAUCGUUUCAGGGCUGAAGCAGUGAUAUCCAGUAACAUUCAAUAUGAAGGAGCUCUGUGAAGGCUAAUUUACAGAAUCAUGGCUGUGCUUUUUUAACUCUUCAUGUAUAUUUAGGCAUUUUCCUGUGUUUCCAAAAGAACCCUGUUCCUCCUGUUCCUCCUCCUCCUCCUGUUCCUCUUCCUGUUCCUGCUCCUUUAGGAAAGGCUCAUGCAAUGGAAUCUGAGGCCUGUUGGUCAUUUGCAAAUCUUCAUGGCAGUGGGCUCAAGUCAAGGGUGAGAGAGCCAUGGGCUCUGAUUUGGAAAUGACCAAAGCUCAAGAAGCCUACAUUCCUCAACAUGAGUCCUAACUGAGGCUAAAGCAACGGGACACCCCCACAGCCACAAGACCAUCCACCACCCAGAGGUCCUGUAGCUGAAUAAAAUAUCAAUCCUUUGGGAGUUAAGGAGAAAUAUAGCACCUGCUUGGGAAAAACUGGAGAAGACAAGAAAAUUCAGUGCCAUUCACUACGCAUUUAUUGAGGACCCCUGAUCUCCAAGGCUUAAGUAGGACGGAGGAUUAGAAAAGAUAGCAACUAAGACAAGAUUGUUCUCAAGAAUAUUACCGCAAGUGUUGCUAACACUGCUAGCCCUUUAAGGCCAACUGGGAAAAGCACAAUCAGGCAGCCAGCCAGGCAAACUGGAGAAAGCACCCAUUUAGACAUUAGAGAGAUCGCAGUUCAAAUCCCCACUCCUCCCGUUAAUACCUAACUGACAUGGAGGGAAUUACCUAACUUCUCUGAGCCCAAGUCUUCUCCUCAGUGUAACUGAGCUGCAGGGUUCUGAGGUUAAGGGGUGCCUUUGAAAGAAGAGGAUCUGGGUGAGAGGAGGCAAUGCUGAGGGAGUCUUGCUGGAAAAAGCAGCAAUGUGGCAGAGGGCCUGAUACAAAGGACACAAGUCACUAUAUCCUGGAAGGUUGCACGUGGAGGCAGGUGAAACCUAGUCUCCAGAGAUUCUCUCAUCUCUAGACUCUAGAGAUUCUAGAGAACCUCCCAGUUUCUGUAGAGAGUCAGGAAGCCUUUAUUUUCUUAAAUCCAUAGGGAUUGAUGAGAAGAUUCAUGCAACAAACGAAGGGCUAGUAGUAGAUAAGGCUUUACAGGUAGGCUGGAGCAAAUUGAGAAGUGGAGUGCUGUCCUAAGGCAGUAAACUUUAUCCUUGAGGAGAUGAAGGUUUGAAGACAGGAAGCUGGUGCCUUAGGAGGUUCACACUGGUGGCUGGGGUCUGGGAGAGCAGUUAAGAGGCUAUACUGAUGGGCCCAGUGAGAACCCAUAGGAGCGGGAGGGAAGGAGGAGAGGUGUUUGUCAAGUGAAGGGAUACAAGUGAGAAUUGUUAUUAAUGGGAUCUGGUGGGGAGAGAAGAUGGCUUUAUCACUGGAGAGUUCACUGAAUUCAGAAACCCAGGAGGCAGACAAGUAGGGCUGGCAGGAAGAGGAUCAGCCUAGAUUUACAGCUGCCAAAAGGAAAAUGCUAGAAGGAUGCUCGUGUGCAGGGAAUAUCCUGCCGGCAGCGGGAAAGGGGCACGGGGCACAGGGCACAAGGAGAAGCUGAUGGCCAGAUGUAGAUGUGGGAAACAGCUUCACAAAAGUAAGGGCUGAAAAUGUGUCGUUGGAUACAAAUCCCUAAGGGAGAAAGGGCAGGGAGAAGAGGGUCAAGGCAACACCCCAAAAGACCACUGAGAAAUAAGGACUUCGGGAUGGAGACCAAGAAAGAGCAAUCUCAAAGGAGUGAAGAAAGAAGAGUUUCAAGAAUGGUGCUGUCCGUGGCCAGAAACUGCGGCUGUCAUGGGGUAUGGAGGAGACAGCAUGUGAGUAGGUGACAGCGAGGACACAGGUGACCUGUGAGAGUGACACAGUAAUAGGUGAAGAACUGAGAUUGUGAGGGUUGAAGGUCAAUGGUUGAAAGUGCUGAAGAAGAAGCGGGAGAUGAGAGGGAGGGAUUGAGCCUUCUAGAAGAUCUGUAAGAGAGGAGAGGAAGGCCAGGUAGUGGUAGCUUGCAGAGAAAGUUUUCUUGAAGAUUUGGUGUUUUCUACAGACACACAGGGGAGGGAGCAGGGGAAUGAGAGAGACGGGAAGAUGUGAGAGAGAAAGGAUUCAUAGAAGACAAGAAGACAGGCCCAGCAGCCCUGAACAGGACCUGGAAAUGCAGAACUCCAUGCAAGUCUGACUUCUGGCGCUGGAGAACAUCAGCCACUAAGCAGCACAGGCAGAGCCCAUGCCUGUGCUGUCCUCACACCCAACACGAGGACUAAGUAUUGGCUUCAUCAUCAGUGAGAUUUCCUAAGGAGAAUUUCACACUGAGGUGAUCAGUUGUGUGUUGCGGGAAGUCAGGGACCCCGAAUGGAGGGACUGGCUGGAGCUGUGGCAGAGGAACAUAAAUUGUGAAGAUUUCAUAGACAUUUAUCAGUUCCCAAAUAAUACUUUUAUAAUUUCUUA